UUGAACGCUGGCGGCAUGCCUUACACGUGCCAGUCGGACGGCAGCACGGGUGCUUGCACCUGGUGGCGGGUGGCGAACGGGUGAGUAAUACAUCGGAACAUGUCCUGUAGUGGGGGAUAGCCCGGCGAAAGCCGGAUUAAUACCGCAUACGAUCUACGGAUGAAGGCGGGGGACCUUCGGGCCUCGCGCUAUAGGGUUGGCCGAUAGCUGAUUAGCUAGUUGGUGGGGUAAAGGCCUACCAAGGCGACGAUCAGUAGCUGGUCUGAGAGGACGACCAGCCACACUGGGACUGAGACACGGCCCAGACUCCUACGGGAGGCAGCAGUGGGGAAUUUUGGACAAUGGGCGAAAGCCUGAUCCAGCAAUGCCGCGUGUGUGAAGAAGGCCUUCGGGUUGUAAAGCACUUUUGUCCGGAAAGAAAUCCUUGGCUCUAAUACAGUCGGGGGAUGACGGUACCGGAAGAAUAAGCACCGGCUAACUACGUG
rnacentral:rRNA from 1 species